rnacentral:tRNA from 1 species
GCCUUCUUAGCUGAGUCGGUAGAUCAUCAGACUUUUAAUCUGAGGGUCGUAGGUUCGAGUCCCUUAGAGUGCC